GGAUGACAAAUGGCAGUGGAGGAACCAGAGAGGGUUUCCAUCCUCUGGAUCGCAGUAUGGGCUUGGGGUUUGCUGUAAUUCCACGGGCAAAAUUGAUUAAUCAGUGCUAUUCCUUCACUUUCCUCAAAGGGAAGCCUUUGAGAGUCCUUGGAUUUUCACGUUCCCCCAUUGCUUCAACAGGAGCGUAGCUGUAAUAUCUUUUUCUCCUGUUCUCAGGUUAGUUUUCAGUCCUUAAGAUUGUUCAUUGAGAUGAUGAAACGACAAGACUUUGUGCUACUGAAAGCGCUGCAUGAAUGUCUCUGUGAAAUCUCCCUUGUUGCAGAACUGAUGAUGUGAGGAAAGUCCUUUGUCAUCAAAGGGGUUCUGAUCAUUCCACCUAUGGAAGGGAAUGUUUGUUUCGGAAAAAUC